rnacentral:lncRNA from 1 species
GUUAAAUGCCUUUCUCAAGGUCACGACGGUGCAAAAACCACCGGGGAAAGAGGAUCUCAGGUCUCCGACCUUUCUGCACUGGAAAGGCAGCACGGCGCAACGUGCUCCGCUCUGCUCGAAAUCCCAACGCCACAAGGUUUUCGGGUUAAGGAUGGACACCCCGAAUGCUCUCCACCGAGCUCCACCGGACUUGGGUACCCCGUGGCGUUCCCGUCCGCACUCCCGCCGUCCCAGUCCGAGCGCCACUGCUCUGAGAGGGGCCAGUGAGGGUCACUUACCGUCGCUCUCCGCCCUGACGAGCAGGGACAUGCCCUUCAGCCUCUCCACGUAGCCGGAGGACACAUGGCCAGUACCCCGGUCGUCCCACUGCCGGUCCUCGUUGAGCGUGUAGACCUUCACCCGCCGUCGGGUGUCGGUCAUCGUGCCGGCCGGGGGCCCCGCCCGAGUGGCCCAGGGACAGUGUCCAGAAAAGGCGGGCGGCCGCAAACGGGGAACUCCGGGACCUCAGUGCCACCGCUGGCCGCCGCGGAGCUGCGCCGCCGCUCGCAUGGCCCGCUCCCGGGUCCGAGCCCCGGGCCGCCGCCUUCUCUCGUCUCCUUCUCCCCGGCGCUAUUGUCCAGGCCGAGCGAGCGCGGCCGCCCAGCAGCCCCGACAGGGAACGCGCAGCACUACGCAGCCUACCGGCCCGCCGUUCCAACGAGGUGCGGCUCGGUUCACAGACCCGCUCCGGCCUCCACCAUGACCUCCGCAGAGCCGCUUUCCCGCGCCGCCGCCUCCUCAGGCCGCCGCCGCCAUGUUUUCCUCCCUUGUACCUGGCCCAGCCGCUGCAGCAGGAAGCCCCGCUCCGCUCCUCCCGCUUAAAGCAUCCGAAGCCGGUGAGGUAGCACUUCCCGGGAGACUCCGAACGCCUCUGGCCACCCGAGAACCCCUGGCUCUUCUUAGAAGCCGCCUUCCCUACUCCGCCGCCUCUUCCGUCUUCCUCACAGAGCCAAAGCCGCCGCCAUCUUGGCUCGCCCCUCAAAAGCGGCGCGCGGGGCCACCUAGGCAGUAGCGGCAGGGGCGGCCCGCAAGCCCCACCACUUAAAGCGACAAGACGGGAGCCGGCAGCUUCGCUCCGGCCGAGGCCUUGCACCGAGGCGGGCGCGGAGCUGCGGGGGUGGCGGGAGCGGAGGAGGCGGGACGCGAGUCGCGCCGGUGACGGACCGGGACUCCCUCGCGCUGCCCUGCGCGUACUGUCGUGCAAGCGCGGGCUGCGUGUGCGUCCGUCGCACUUUGAAUUCGUCAUCACCUCGGCUCCGGGCGGGGAAGGGGUGUGGAGUCUGUUGGCGGCUUCUGGAGCCAGACUGGACUCUGAUCCCGGAGCUCGUCCUUUCCCGUGCGAGCCUUCUCCGGACGCUUUAGGGAGGACCUUUGCAGUCGGCCCUGGGGGCGCGGGCUGCUGGCGUCCUCCUCGUCCUCCCCCCGCCCUCCUCCUCCUCCUCCUCUUCUUCCCUUGGCCUGAAAUAGAGAAGUUUCUGAGAGAGGACCGUUUGGACCGCGAGGUUGGCGGGAUGCAGUGAGGCACGCAAUGGCCGGGCAAGUCUAAAACCCUCGACGCGGUGUUCACGCGUGGCACUGCUCCCCGGGAUCAUUCUGAGCACUCACCUCACAAUAAUCAGCGGUUAUCUCCCUUUCUCUGUCGGUUAUCAAAGCUGAUCGUCUGUAGCCCUAGGCUGGUUUGUUUGUUUUUUUAAACAAAAUAACAAAACACAUCUUGAAGGGCUUGCAAAGAUAAAUGCCGUACUGUAUGAAUAAGAUGAAAUUCUUUGUUUUUUUGUUUUUUUUGAAACACAGCCUCACAAUGUUGCUCUGACUGGCUGAAGCAACGUAUGCGAGAAGCUGGGAUCUUUCUUAACCCACACCAGAGACAAGUGCUCGCAAAGACAUACCUGAAAUCAUUCACCAACAAAACUCGGAAGCAUGUAAAAACAAAGCAGUUGCUGUUUCUAAAUACCAGAAUGCAAUCCUUUCAAGCAUCUAGAUGGAGCCCAUGAGCUCCAAGCAGAGCAGUAAAUGACACAACCUCGGGGUUCGACGUGUGAUAAGGUAUCCUGUAACUACUCUUUGUACCGCUGGGAUCUACCCUGCUUCACUGGAUGACAUGCAGCCUUUUCUCUUAGCAACUGCAUGAAUAAACAUCCAAGAGAACUUGUUUGUUUGGUUUAGUUUUUUGAGACAAGGUUUCUCUGUAUAGCCCUGGCUGCCCGGGAACUCACUCUGUAGACCAGGCUGGCCUCAAACUCAGAAAUCUGCCUGCCUCUGCCUCCUGAGGGCUGGGAUUAAAGGCGUGCGCCACCACACCCGGCGAUAACUUUUUUUUUUUAAAGAUUUAUUUUUAUGUGUAUCAGUUUGUCUGCGUGUAUGUAUGUGCACUAUGUGUAAGCCUGAUGCUCUUGGAGGCCAGAAGAGGAUGUUGGAUCACCUGUUAACUGUGAUUACAGGCAAUUGGGAACUGCAUGCGGAUGAUGAGAAGCAAGGCCUUGUCCUUUACAAGAGAAGCCUGUGGUUUAAACUGCUGAGCUGUCUUUCUAGUUCCAAAUACCUAAGAGGAGUCUAAAGUCCUUCUCAAAGGACCUUGAGAUAUCUUUUUUUGCUUGUUUUUUCAAGACAGGGUUUCUCUGUGUAGCCCUGGCUAUCCUGGAACUCACUCUGUAGACCAGGCUGGCCUCGAACUCAGAAAUCCGCCUGCCUCUGCCUCCUGAGGGCUGGGAUUAAAGGCGUGCGCCACCACUGCCUGGCCCUUGAGAUAUCUUAGUGAAUGAGGAAAGGCACUUAAACUGCUAAACCCAACCAAGUGAAUUUGAUCCUUGAAACUCACAUGAUGGAAGGAGAGAACCAAUCCCCUUACCUUGUUCUCUGACAGCUACACACCCCUCUCCCACAGAAAUAAAAUGUU